GCCGCCACCCCCGCGCCGCAGGGUCGCGGCCAGCGCCGCGCUGCUCAUCCCUCUCAGCGCCCCGGCCGACCUGUGCUGCGGAGCGGGGUCUCCCGGCCGCCCUUUGCGGUGUUCCCUCCCCGGCAGGUCCCGCACGGCGCGGCCCCGCAGCGCCCAGGCCCCUCAAGCGACUUGCCCGGGGACUGUCGGGGGUCGCCCGGGCGGUUGGGAACGAGAGGAGCCUGGGCCGGGUCACUGGGCUCGUGCCGGCCGGGGUCGUGUUUUGGGGUCUGCAAGAGCCAGAAAAUGUCUGCAGAGCCCCUGACUCUUUUGUGGAAGUCUAAAGACUCUUUGGGGAAUUCUAAAGGGGAGCGGGAGGAGACUGGAAGGUGAGGGUUGAGUGGCCUGAAGCCCUGCAGUGAAGGGCCCGAGACAUCUGAUGUUUCUGCAGGUUUUCUGCUGGUUUCUUGCUCCUUGUUCUUGUAUCCGGUGCUGGGUGCUCCCCUUGCCACAGAGGUCAUGGAGAGCCUGGUGUAGCAAUGGGACUGUGCCCCUUGGGCCGUGCAGGGGUUUGUGUUGGUGAACAUUGUCUGUGUGGGUAACAGAAAGGACUCUCCUCCUUACUGCCCUAGGAGCCAGAGCAUCUGUGGCAUUUCUUUAGUCUUCAGUAAAGAUCUUCAGUGAGUUACCAACCAUGGGAGUCAGGAUAUGAGCAGCCUCCAAAGUCUGUAAAGAAAGAAGUAAAGUAACUGUUGGGCCAUCAGAGUGGAUGUCAGUGUCAGCCACGGGGAGAUGGAAUAAUGCUCUCACUGCUGGAAGAGUCACCUCCAUGCAGGUUUGUAUGUGAGGUUGAGAGGAGUCACCUUGUGUAUCUCAUUAUCUUACCCUGGCUGGAAUAUCUGCUAGGAGGCAGAAGAGCCCUCCCAGGCACAUCACCUGCUGAAUUCAACAAACACUUGUCAAAAACAAAGAUUGACCAGAAAUAUUGUCACUUAUAAAAGCAUUCUUUUAUACUAACUAUAGUAAAAAUAGCCAUAUAUAAAAGGGAAUCAAACCUUUGGACAGUGCUGUUUCAAUAGAGGCCUUCAAAAAAAACCACUUCCUAUGUGAUGAAAGAGAAAUGCUCAAAAAUCCCUUCAGGAAUACCUACAAUUCCUUAUGGAUACCUAAUGAAAAUAUAUUAGAACUGAGCAAGUAGCAAAAAAAGCUUGAUGAACUGACUGUAACAAAAUAUCCAGUGAUGAAAAGCUCUGCAGACUUUUCUUGCCAGCUCUGGCAAGUAAGUAGUUUUGCUAAAUAGAAGGAAAGCAGAAGAUACAGCUAUCAACUGCAAACGAAUGAUUAUAAACCAGAAAGAAAAUGUGAGGAAGAGCUCUGAAAAUUAUGAUUGACAGUGACAACACAGACCAGACAGCUUUUAUUUUAAGCAACAGAUUGUUGGGAACAUACACUGUAUAUCAAAGUGAAGGACUUGAAACCUGCUGUAGUCUGUACAGAUGUUCUCACUCAGAAAGCAGCUAGAGGGAACAGAAGAUAAAAGAAGGCUGUCCAACUUCAAAAAAGUGACAAUCCAUAAGACAAGGCAAACUGAAAUGCACUGUACCAAGAUGUACUAACUGAAAAUACUCCAAAGACUGAUGUGGAACUCCCUCCUGUGGUGUGAGUGAGCAGCUUCACCCUCAACAGCUCCCGGCAGCUUG